UCUGUUCAAAAAUUUGCUAACGAUAACAAUGUGUUUUGUUGAUUUCAUGGACACUAUUUCAUCAUAAAGGUGACACGACCCGUCCCGAAUCACCCUAGUGGACCCGAAACGUGAUGUUUGCCGAUGAUAGAUGCCGACUAGAUGUCAAAUCAAUCACCAAGGCUGACUAUGAGUUAUUACAAAAUAUACGACAAAAUCAAAUGUUUAUAAAACUGUAGUGCAGUGGGCCCAAAAUUACAUCGUGUUUUAUCAAAUUGACUCAUCAAUAUGUCGUGUGGCUCUAACUCUGAAAUCAACAGGCUCCUCAAGUUAUCAAGGACUAAUAUUACCUGUAAGAAUAAUUUUAGGAAAAUAUGAGUUGACAGCUCAGUGAGUGGAAAUGUUCGAAAAUAAUUAUGCUUCCUCAUUUAAACAUUUUUAUCAAACAUCAAGUUAAUAUCAUUUUAUAUUUCACUUGAUAGCCUCAUACGAAUAUAGACAGAAAGUGAGACAUUUUCACAACUCUUUAAAUAUCAUCUCAUAUCCACGAUAUAGUCAUCAGCUGAUAUCUAUACCAUCAUCUCAUCAUAUUACAUGUGAUCCACCAAAAAUGUACCCUUCGACUAAAAUCUGUAAUCCGUCCCUCGGACUAAGAACUUUCGCCACUGGCCUUUGGCCCAUCCGUGAACGAAAGUCGGUCUCAAAGACCUCUUAAAAUCAAUUCUAGAACACGGCCAAGAUUCCUCAGUGAACUAUAUGUACACGGUCGAGACCCCUUCAUCCCCGGUCCAUGACCCCUCAAUGUAGUAUAGAACACGGCCAAGGCCCCUCAGUGAACUAGAAGAAAUAUAUUAUCACGAGUAUUUUUCUGGUCGAUCUCAAAAUCAUAUCUCAUAUUCCAAUUCACAAUGUAACGUAUACAAUCUUUGAAAUCCCACAUGUAUCAUAAUAAAAGAUAUUUCCAUAAAAACAAUGUAAUUCGAACACAUAAUUGCAUAUAAUUGCACAUACUUUAACAAUAAACUUAAUUUAUAAAUACUUUAAAAAUAUUUAUAUUUUUCCACUCACCGAAUUAUAGGCUUCAAGCUAAUUUAGACAUUUUGUCUUUCGAAUAUCCUCACUGCCUCAAUGCUGAAAUAACAAUAAACUUUUAUUAAUUCAAAUUGGUUACGGAUUCCCAAAUACUCAUCUUAAUUGUAUUCCUAUAUUUCUUAUUCUUUAUUUCUUCUCUAGUUCUUCCUUGUCUAAAAAUAUAUAACAUAAUUAAUUGGACAGCUUCUAUAAACUCCAAACUUGUUCCUUUAUUUCACUUCCAAUCCACGAAAACACCUAUAUAUUUCAGUAAGUUUCAUAUUCGCUUGAUUGAAACCAAAACCCAUCAUAAAGCCUUGUUCAAGCUGAAAAGAAGCCUAAAAGAAAAGUCCAAAAUUCUUUCUUGAUGGUACCCAGACAGCUACUUGUUCAUCUAGUUGUCUAAAACGAAAAUUCCUCCUUACACUAAUAUAAACCCAUAUUGUUCAAGUAAUUGGGAAAUUAUGAACACUUAAUCAAUGAUUAAAGUCAAUAACAUCAAACCCCCUUUCCCAUUUACUUCUCGUUACUCACACUUUCAACCCAAAUUCCACUAACUUUCUAAUUCUUGAAAUUCGGGUAUGGAUGAAAUAAAUAAAGUCUUAAAACACUAAAAUAAAUAAAGUCUUAAAACAAACUAAUCCCUAUAAAAUGCUUAACUUUAAACGCUAAUUCCUUUUUACCUAUUGAAAUAGAAGAAGAACUGGAGAACCAUGAGAUAGAAUAGACAAUUUCCUUCAAUCACCUUGAUUGGCCGCCAUCUUCUAUCUCCCUUUUUCUUUCCCAAAUAUCCUUCUACCUCUCGAUUCUUCUG
rnacentral:lncRNA from 1 species